rnacentral:rRNA from 1 species
UACGUAGGGUGCAAGCGUUAAUCGGAAUUACUGGGCGUAAAGCGUGCGCAGGCGGCUUUGCAAGACAGAUGUGAAAUCCCCGGGCUUAACCUGGGAACUGCAUUUGUGACUGCAUGGCUGGAGUGCGGCAGAGGGGGAUGGAAUUCCGCGUGUAGCAGUGAAAUGCGUAGAUAUGCGGAGGAACACCAGUGGCGAAGGCGAUCAUCUGGGGAUGUUCUGACGCUGAGGAGCGAAAGCUAGGGGAGCAAACGGG